GAGUACACGUCAUAUCCAAAGGAAGAGUUCAGGCUUCCCGAUUAGCAAGCAGGUCUCAGAAAUCCGACCACAGCAAAAGCACAAACCCACACAAUUCACAGCAUCUGAAAGCGCUUCUGUCCACACGUACAUAUGAUAACUCGGAGAUUGAAGACAUAAGCAGGAGCAGGUAACAUGAAAUACACCGCAUUUCUUCUUGGUGGGCUACUAAUUAACUGAUGCAAAGUCAAAACUAACAUCUCCCUAAGUUCCUAGGCCCACUAUAUGAGUAUCAACCUUAGAACUACUGAAAUAUAUCACCAUGAUGUCUUAGACCUUGAGAGUUGAGACAGAAAAUGUAAGCAAGGCCUGUGACAUUUAUUGCAUUAUUUUCAUCCAUGGUUUAGAUGCAACAGAAUCUCAACAAGUUCCAUUUCUGAAAAUGUCACUUAAGGCUUCCCUAUUUCCAGGGGGAAUGAAUUUCAUAUAUCAUUGCCGAAAGUAAAUUAGAAUUAUCAACCAAUGUUAAUAUCAUAGUACUAAGAAACUAGGAUGAAAAAUGUGAAAUGAUCUCACCUUCUUCUCUAUGAAGAAUCUUGCUAAUAGUCCACUUCUUAAUUUCCUGGAUUGGGAUCUAAGCCUGUUGUUUUAGAACUCCACAAGUAUUUACUCACACCACUAGCAUUGAUGCAGAUCCACAUCCUCCCAUUUCAAUGGCUCGUCCUCACUAACUCGUACUAGCUCACACAGAACUGUUUCAAGCAGUAAAGGCAGAAGUAGUGGAAUAACUUCUGAUAGAGUCAGUGAUUCCUUUCAAGUAAGACCAUGUGAGAAUUUGAAGACAAAUAAACAAGUUACAUCACCUAAAGCUUCAAAGAGAAGUAAAAGACCAGAAUCUCUUCAUAGAAUUUCCAUACCAGAAAGAACAGAUUUUUCAGGGCCACCAAGUUGCGGAUCAACUGAUAUAUCUAGUCACGGUUCAGAAAGUACAGCUUACAAUUCCAGUUCUUUGGCCUCCCUGACUCCUGUGAGUAUAUUGUGAUAAAUUCAUUUAGGAAUUAUGUUUGUACAAACAUCAAAACAUACAAUGACUUCCUGAAAUAACUUGUUGGCUCAAGUUAUUAUGCAACAAGAUCCAAUUUCCAUCUUGUUUGAUUUGUUUUCUAGUAGAUCUAACAAUAUUUUUAUUGGCUGCUGACCUUCUGGGAUAGGUUUACAGCAAAGGAGUUCUCCAGAAUCUAAAAGCUUGCACAUCUAUUAUAUGUAGCCUUCAAUUAGUUUAGCUUAUUGAGCUUUUUUCUCUCUAAAAUGGAUGAAAUUCAAGAUAGCGUUACAUUACAAAUAUGUAAACUAUGAUUGCCUGAUUACCAUGAAUACAGUGACUGGUGCCUCUGAGGCGCUUCAGUCCAAAAUGAAUCUGUCUUCCUAUGGCCUAAAUAUAUCUUCCAAUUCUUUAUUUUAUGAGUCCGUUACCAUAUUAUUGAGACAUAUUUCAUCCUUUCCAUGGGUUACAUAGCGAGGCUUGGAGGUUGAGAUGAAGCGACUUCGAAAAGAAUUAAAGAGAUCCAUGGAUAUGUUUAAAUCAGUUUGCGAAGAAGCUGUUGUAGCAAAAGAUAAGGUAAGAUUGGAUGUUUAUGAUCAUAUGUGAUCUUAUCAAUAAAAACUUAGCAACAUACUUCCAGUUUUCUUGACCGGGCCUUUUCUUUUCCCAGCUGAAGAAGCUUCAGGAAUGGAAAGAAGCAGAAGAGCGCAAAUUAGAGGAAGCCAAGCUUUCUGAGGAGGCAGCAGUGGCUUUGGCAGAGGCAGAAAGGGA
rnacentral:lncRNA from 1 species